rnacentral:rRNA from 1 species
AGCAAGGCAGAUCCAAUUUUCUGCCACCGAAUACAUUAGCAUGGGAUAAUGGAAUAGGACCCUGUCCUCUUAUUUUCAGUUGGUUUUGGCAGCGCGAGGACUAGGGUAAUYWUUAAUAGGGAUAGUUGGGGGCAUUAAUAUUUAAUUGUCAGAGGUGAAAUUCUUGGAUUUAUGAAAGAUUAACUUCUGCGAAAGCAUCUGCCAAGGAUGUUUUCAUUAAUCAAGAACGAAAGUUAGGGGAUCGAAGACGAUCAGAUACCGUCGUAGUCUUAACCAUAAACGAUGCCGACCAGCGAUUAGGAGACGUUGAAUACAAAACACCACCAUCGGCGCGGUCGUCCUUGGCGUCUGUCCCUUUCAACGGGGGCAGGCGCGAGGGCGGUUUAGCCCGGUGGCACCGGUGAAUGACUCCCCUAGCAGCUUGUGAGA